AUUAUUAAAGGAUUCCGGUAAAGGAUGGGGAUGCGUUCCAUUAGGUUGUUGGUGAGGUAACGGCUCACCAAGCCUUCGAUGGAUAGGGGUUCUGAGAGGAAGGUCCCCCACAUUGGAACUGAGACACGGUCCAAACUCCUACGGGAGGCAGCAGUGAGGAAUAUUGGUCAAUGGGCGGUAGCCUGAACCAGCCAAGUAGCGUGAAGGAUGAAGGCUCUAUGGGUCGUAAACUUCUUUUAUAUAAGAAUAAAGUGCAGUAUGUAUACUGUUUUGUAUGUAUUAUAUGAAUAAGGAUCGGCUAACUCCGUGCCAGCAGCCGCGGUAAUACGGAGGAUCCGAGCGUUAUCCGGAUUUAUUGGGUUUAAAGGGAGCGUAGGUGGACUGGUAAGUCAGUUGUGAAAGUUUGCGGCUCAACCGUAAAAUUGCAGUUGAUACUGUCAGUCUUGAGUACAGUAGAGGUGGGCGGAAUUCGUGGUGUAGCGGUGAAAUGCUUAGAUAUCACGAAGAACUCCGAUUGCGAAGGCAGCUCACUGGACUGCAACUGACACUGAUGCUCGAAAGUGUGGGUAUCAAACAGGAUUAGAUACCCUGGUAGUCCACACAGUAAACGAUGAAUACUCGCUGUUUGCGAUAUACAGUAAGCGGCCAAGCGAAAGCAUUAAGUAUUCCACCUGGGGAGUACGCCGGCAACGGUGAAACUCAAAGGAAUUGACGGGGGCCCGCACAAGCGGAGGAACAUGUGGUUUAAUUCGAUGAUACGCGAGGAACCUUACCCGGGCUUAAAUUGCAGUGGAAUGAUGUGGAAACAUGUCAGUGAGCAAUCACCGCUGUGAAGGUGCUGCAUGGUUGUCGUCAGCUCGUGCCGUGAGGUGUCGGCUUAAGUGCCAUAACGAGCGCAACCCUUAUCUUUAGUUACUAACAGGUUAUGCUGAGGACUCUAGAGAGACUGCCGUCGUAAGAUGUGAGGAAGGUGGGGAUGACGUCAAAUCAGCACGGCCCUUACGUCCGGGGCUACACACGUGUUACAAUGGGGGGUACAGAAGGCAGCUAGCGGGUGACCGUAUGCUAAUCCCAAAAGCCUCUCUCAGUUCGGAUCGAAGUCUGCAACCCGACUUCGUGAAGCUGGAUUCGCUAGUAAUCGCGCAUCAGCCACGGCGCGGUGAAUACGUUCCCGGGCCUUGUACACACCGCCCGUCAAGCCAUGGGAGCCGGGGGUACCUGAAGUACGUAACCGCAAGGAUCGUCCUAGGGUAAAACUGGUGACUGGGGCUAAGUCGUAACAAGGUAGCCGUACCGGAAGGUGCGGCUGGAACACCUCCUUU
rnacentral:rRNA from 1 species